rnacentral:rRNA from 1 species
AAAACAAAAACUGCAAGUCGAACGAGAGACCUUCGGGUCUCUAGUGGCGAACGGGUGAGUAACACGUAGGGAACCCGCCCGCGCACCGGGAAUACGCUCUGGAAACGGAGAACAAAUCCCGAUGUACAGGAAGGAGGCAUCUUCUUUCUGUGAAACAUCCUCUAGGGGAUGGGGCGCGGAUGGACCUGCGGUGCAUUAGUUGGUUGGCGGGGUAAAGGCCCACCAAGACGAUGAUGCAUAGCCGGCCUGAGAGGGCGGACGGCCACAUUGGGACUGAGACACGGCCCAGACUCCUGCGGGAGGCAGCAGUAGGGAAUUUUCGUCAAUGGGCGCAAGCCUGAACGAGCGAUGCCGCGUGAGUGAAGAAGGCCUUCGGGUCGUAAAGCUCUGUUGCGGGGGAAAAAAGGCAGCAUCAGGAAAUGGGUGCUGACUGAUGGUGCCCCGCCAGAAAGUCACGGCUAACUACGUGACAGCAGCCGCGGUAAUACGUAGGUGGCGAGCGUUAUCCGGAAUGAUUGGGCGUAAAGGGUGCGCAGGCGGUCCAGCAAGUCUGGAGUGAAACGCAUGAGCUCAACUCAUGCAUGGCUUUGGAAACUGGAGGACUGGAGAGCAGGAGAGGGCGGUGGAACUCCAUGUGUAGCGGUAAAAUGCGUAGAUAUAUGGAAGAACACCAGUGGCGAAGGCGGCCGCCUGGNCUGUUGCUGACGCUGAGGCACGAAAGCGUGGGGAGCAAAUAGGAUUAGAUACCCU